rnacentral:rRNA from 1 species
CACAUGCAAGUCGAGCGGUAAGGCCCUUCGGGGUACACGAGCGGCGAACGGGUGAGUAACACGUGGGUAACCUGCCCUGUACUCUGGGAUAAGCCUUGGAAACGAGGUCUAAUACCGGAUACGACACUGGAUCGCAUGAUUCGGUGUGGAAAGUUCCGGCGGUAUGGGAUGGACCCGCGGCCUAUCAGCUUGUUGGUGGGGUAAUGGCCUACCAAGGCGACGACGGGUAGCCGGCCUGAGAGGGUGACCGGCCACACUGGGACUGAGACACGGCCCAGACUCCUACGGGAGGCAGCAGUGGGGAAUAUUGCACAAUGGGCGAAAGCCUGAUGCAGCGACGCCGCGUGAGGGAUGACGGCCUUCGGGUUGUAAACCUCUUUCAGCAGGGACGAAGCGCAAGUGACGGUACCUGCAGAAGAAGCACCGGCUAACUACGUGCCAGC